UACGUAGGGGGCAAGCGUUGUCCGGAAUCAUUGGGCGUAAAGCGCGUGUAGGCGGCCCGGUAAGUCCGCUGUGAAAGUCGGGGGCUCAACCCUCGAAUGCCGGUGGAUACUGUCGGGCUAGAGUGCGGAAGAGGCGAGUGGAAUUCCUGGGUGUAGCGGUGAAAUGCGCAGAUAUCAGGAGGAACACCAAUUGCGAAGGCAGCUCGCUGGGACGUGACUGACGCUGAGACGCGAAAGCGUGGGGAGCAAACAGG
rnacentral:rRNA from 1 species